rnacentral:rRNA from 1 species
AUUGAACGCUGGCGGCAUGCCUUACACAUGCAAGUCGAACGGUAACAGGUUAAGCUGACGAGUGGCAAACGGGUGAGUAAUGUAUCGGAACGUGCCCAGUCGUGGGGGAUAACUGCUCGAAAGAGCAGCUAAUACCGCAUACGACCUGAGGGUGAAAACGGGGGAUCGCAAGACCUCGCGCGAUUGGAGCGGCCGAUAUCAGAUUAGGUAGUUGGUGAGGUAAAGGCUCACCAAGCCGACGAUCUGUAGCUGGUCUGAGAGGACGACCAGCCACACUGGGACAGAGACACGGCCCAGACCCCUACGGGAGGCAGCAGUGGGGAAUUUUGGACAAUGGGCGCAAGCCUGAUCCAGCCAUGCCGCGUGCGGGAAGAAGGCCUUCGGGUUGUAAACCGCUUUUGUCAGGGAAGAAAAGGUUCUGGCUAAUACCUAGGACUCAUGACGGUACCUGAAGAAUAAGCACCGGCUAACUACGUGCCAGCCGCCGCCGUAACAC